rnacentral:misc_RNA from 1 species
UCAACCCUCGAACCUCCGUUUCCUCAGGGAAGCUCAGGGUCGGUGUUGGGGCUCUACGGCGAGUCUUCGCGACCCUCCGUAGGCCCUGAAAUACAGUGGCGGUCCCGCCGCGGUUGCCUUCUGCGUAGUAAGUCUCUUUUGCAAGCUCGCAUUGGGUCCCGGCGGAGGCCUGCCGUCAAACCACCUAUAACUCCAGAUGGU